rfam:Brassica napus, WGS project CCCW01000000 data, contig: 4238
AGUAUUAGGUAGUUGGUUAGGUAAAGGCUGACCAAGCCGAUGAUGCUUAGCUGGUCUUUUCGGACGAUCAGC